UCAACCAAAUGCAUGAUUACUUAAUUCUCGCCUCCACCUUUUAUGCAACUUAUAGAGCUUAGAUCCUUUUUUUUAACAACAGGCCAUCACCAUGAAGAGCUGAUCUUAGGGCAGGUUUGCUUGCUCCUUUCUUCACCUCUUGGGAUUGCUUGUCUAGCUGUCUUUCGCCCUUCGGCUUUGACCUUGAACUUUUCUAAUUGUUGCAACUGCACUUACUCGUUCAAAACCGCAUCAUCUUUGAUUGUGCCAACAAAAUGUGGAAUUUAAGUAGGUCUGUAAGAAGGUUAAAUAAUAUGUUCGUUAAGUAAAAUGUAUAUCAAAGUAAUUUAAUAAAUAGCAAUAAUGUGCAACUCUUGUUCAGCUUCAUAGGAGAAAUAACACUCAGUAAAACAAAAAUCAACAAAACAAAACCAAAGUAAUCCACAAUUAACAAAGAUACUAUCAUUGUGGGGCAUGGUUUAAACUUUAAAUUUCUAAUGUAAUAAAAAACACUUGGAAAUAUGAAUUAACAUUAGCUGGCCUAGAUAACAAUUUAUCCCUUGCUCUCGACCAGUCUAUAGUGAGAAAUUCUUCAAAUAAAGUGCACCUCAGACUGCAAAAAAGGUAACAGUAGAAUCACAAAACCUUUCCCUUAGAUUUUUUUUUUAUUUCUAACACAAACAAAUAAAUUAAAUUAGUCAGGCCACAAGAAUAUUAAGGAAGCUAUUUACCCUAUUGUACGCAUUGCACGCCCAACCGUCGAAACCCGAUUCUAUAUCAACCACUCCAAUAUGGUGGUCUUCUCGGAGACAAAUUAUUGAGCAUGUGCCGUUCGUCCGAAACACAAACCAUUGAGCAUAGUCUUGACAGAAUUUGGGAGGGCGCGACCCCCACACGCACGGCUAAGACUUACCAGAAUGGCAUGCCUCGCUCUCCUAUGCAUCGCCUUCAGUUUCAUCUUUAUCGAUAAAAAAAUAUUUUAUUUUAUGCAAUGAAAAACGAAUG
rnacentral:lncRNA from 1 species